rnacentral:lncRNA from 1 species
UGCGGUUGAACUUCUUCUUGAGCUCGGUCAUGUGCUCGCUCUUAGUGACCCGAAAAUAGUAAUCAGCGAAAUCAGACUGGUACAGACAGUUGUCCGGGGUAGCUGUGCCAAUGGCUAGAACGGUGGCCGGACCCUUGGCACGCUGAGCAUUUCUAAUUUCCUCCACAGACGCCAUUGAUAGUAGGAUGACUGCUGAAAUCGAAGCUUAAAAGUUGAAGAAGGAAAGAGAAGUGAAUGUUUCGGAGCACAGAGUGCUUGGAGCUGGCUGGAAAAAGUUGUGUCUUGAGGUUGGUAUUUAUAAUCAUAAGGAAUGCUGUGUUUCACCAACUCUCAUCCACUUGGACGCUAUUGAAAUUGAAUGGUGUCCUGCCCAGUCAAUGGAUACUUGAUGAUACAUGAAAGGGCAGGGACUUGCAUGUAGGUAGGCGUGCAUUUGAAUAAUCCAUGCUGCAGUGACAUGGGUUUUGAUCAUUUCCAACUUGGUAGGCUUCGGUUUUCAUUCUUUAGAUCUUUCUCUAUAACUCUAAUCCUUUUGUCUUUAGCCCACGUAAGGUUGUUGGAAGCUUACCCUCUUGUCUUUAGCCCACGUAAGGUGGUUGGAAGCUUACCCUCUUUGACUCGAAGUUGGUAGGACCACUUCCAUAUCCCCCGAAUGCUAUAAUUUGACCAUGGAGUUGGGCUUCUUGACUUGCAAUAAUAAAAGACCCAAAUCUUUCACAUGCUGAGCUACCUGCUGCCGGCUGGACGUUCGGAAAUCUACAAUGAAGUAGAUUAUGUAGUCAAAUUUACUAUUUAAAAUAACGAAUAUAAAAAUGUUAAUUUAGUCAUUUAAAAUAAAUUUUAACUUAACUUUAUUAAAUAAGCUAAGUGCUUAAAGUAAAAUUUUAAUAAUGAGUUUUAACUCAAUAAUUUAAUUUAAAUACAACUUAAAUCAUCAAAUAAAAAACAUUAAGUUUUAACCGGUCAGCUUGGGAAUCACUUUUUCAAUUGACCCAUAGCUCGACAAUUUAAAACUUAUAUUAAGAAUAUUUACAUUUCAUAAUUAAUAUCUUAACUCAAAUUUUUAGUAAGUAUGGAUUCAUACACUUUCACCGGCUCCCAAUCCACUAGCAGCUGGUAGGCUGAUAAAGUCAGAUGGUGGCGGAGACUCGUUCAACAAUCUCAUGCUUAUUUAAAUUAUAUCAGAUGGUUUUUUAAUGCUCUUUUGGGAGGAGGGGGAAAGUGACAAAUUCAGCAUCAGUCGACCGGGGCUGCAAAUUAAUUCAUCAACUUAAGAAAUUUUGUGUAGAACACAUUUCUACAUUUUAAACUUAUGAGAAGGAGAAUCCACACAUUUCUAUAAUUAAACAUAUUUAUUUAUUAAGUAAAAUAAUUCAUAACUUUUUCACUUUUAGUUGGCUGCAAAAGACGAUGAAGUCAUAUUCAACAAAGGAAGAUUUUUCUAUUGAAAUUACUCAAGUCCGAAUUAUACGGAGUCAAAGUUCUCUGGAAAUAUGUAUGAAAACUUCACUGAAAAUUGGGACUUAAAAACAGGCUGCAAAACACAAAAAGGAAAAAGAAAAAGAAAAAAAAAAGAGUAUAAUUCUUAAAUUAUUUUUAAUUGUUUGAAAAAAAAAUUGUUAUUUGAUUAAAAGAGCUUUCUCAGCUCCAAAAGUGACUGCUAAACAAAAUUUUGGGUUAUUUUGAGUUAUGUUAUCUUAUGUAAAAAGUUAGGUUUAAAUGAUAUAAUUGUAACAUCAUAAGAUUUUGAAUAAUAAUUGAAAGUUUUGUUAGUAUAGAACCAGUCUUGUAUAUGUCUUAAUCUAAUAGGACUAAUGAGAGGUAAGACAUCACCCUUGUUUCGAUGGUGGCUAUCUUAUUUAAUUUAUAUGCACUGUAGAACCAAACUGGUUUCCAUAUUUUUCAAAUUCGUAGUCUGUCACUUUUAGGCCUUGAGUUGGAUACGAUUUUUUGGAAUUUUCAAGCAAAACUAAGACUAAAUCAGCGCGGGAAAAGGAAUAUGAAAAUUUUUCUCACUUGCAUGCCUAAACAAAAUAGAAAUCCAUUAUUUCUUUCAUUUUGAUAACAUACACAAGGAUAAACAAGGAUUUUAACUUGAGGUCUCUGAAAAAGUCCUCCAACAACGAUAAAUAACAAAUAAUAAAUUCUGAGUAAAGAUGAUUUCAUGGUGAUAUAUCUUUACUACCAAUAUUUGAUUAAUAGAACAUGGCUCGUGAAUGGUUUUUCCUAUCAUUUCACUUAGUUUGAAUCCAUUUGAACGCUAUGUAGUACAACGGUCUCAAUGGUCAAGCCUGGCCCAAAGCCAAACAAAACACCCCAAUCCAAUCCUUCACCUGUGGUUGUCUUUCCUUCCUUGAGCGAUUUCUUUCUCAUCUCGUCCAAAAUAAACAAGACACAUGCACUCGACAUGUUCCCAUAUUCACUUAGAAUAUGUCUUGUUGCUUUGAGUUUCUGUUUAUCUAAACUGAGUUUUGCUUCAACUGCGUCAAGAAUAGCUGGGCCACCGGGAUGAGCAAUCCAGAAUAAGGAAUUCCAGUCACUAAUACCAAUUGGGUCAAAAGCCUUAGUCAAACACUUCUCUAUGUUUUCAGAUAUCAAACUAGGCACAUUAGGCCACAAUUGAAAGGUGAGACCCACUUCACGUAAGUUGCCGGCAAUAGCACCUGCUGAAUUUGGAAUAAAUGUUUGUGCUGCUGAAACAAGCUGGAAGAGUGGUUGUUCAAUCGAGAUAUCUGGAUCUGAUCCAACAAUUACAGCUGCAGACCCAUCACCAAAAAGGGCUUGGCCAACUAAAGAGUCCAAAGCAUCUUCGGAAGGACCACGAAAUGUAACAACAGUGAUCUCAGAGCAUACCACAAGAACUCGUGCUCCUGCAUUAUUCUCUACAAGAUCCUUAGCUGUUCGAAGAACAGUUCCACCUGCAUAGCACCCUUGAUGGUACAACAUCACUCUUCUGACAGAUGGUUCGAGGCCUAAAAGAUUAGCGAGUUUAUAAUCUGCACCAGGCAUUUCUACACCUGAGGUGGUACAAAAUACAAGGUGGGUGAUCUUCGAUUUAGGCUGACCCCACUCUUUAAGAGCCUUCAAUGCUGCUUCCUUACCAAGCUUGGGUACCUCAGCAGUGAUAAUCUCUUGGCGUAUGUUAAGAGAUGGAGCCAUAUAAGCACCAAUGUUUGGGUGCUCCUCAAGCAUUUCUUCGGUCAAAUGAAUGUAACGCUUCUUGAUCAUGGAUUUAUCACCUGUAUAUAAAUUAAACAGGAGUAAUAUGUGAGCUCAAGGCAUUCAUUGUUCAAGAUGAUCAACAUCGUUCAAGUGAGUGUAAAAAAAUUCAUCUUAGUACAAUAUAAAAGCUUAUUCUGCUCAUACCAUCGCGCAGAGAUGCAUUGAAUUAAUUUAAAAUGAGUACACAGGAUGUUAAAAUUAUACUUACAGAUGCGGUUGAACUUCUUCUUGAGCUCGGUCAUGUGCUCGCUCUUAGUGACCCGAAAAUAGUAAUCGGCGAAAUCAGACUGGUACAGACAGUUGUCCGGGGUAGCUGUGCCAAUGGCUAGAACGGUGGCCGGACCCUUGGCACGCUGAGCAUUUCUAAUUUCCUCCACAGACGCCAUUGAUUGUGUGUGAUGACUACUGAAAUCGAAGCUUAAAAGUUGAAGAAGGAAAGAGAAGUGAAAUUGUAGGAGCACAAGUGCUUGGAGCUGGCUGGCCAAAGUUGGGUAUUGAGGUUUGUAUUUAUAAUCAUAAGAAAUGCUGUGUUUCACCAACCCUCAUCCACUUGGACGCUAUUGAAAUUGAAUGGUGUCCUGCCCAGUCAAUGGAUACUUGAUGAUAUGUGAAAGGGAAGGGUCUCCCAUGUAGGUAGGUGUGCAUUUGAAUAACCCAUGCUGCAGUAACAUGGGAUUUGAUCAUUUCUAACUUGGUAGGCUUCGGUUUUCAUUCUUUAUUUUUUGCGUUCUUGAUCUUCCUCUAUAACUAUAUUCUUUUUUUCUUUAGCCCAUGUAAGGUUGUUGGAAGCUUACCCUUUGUCUUUAGCCCAUGUAAGGUGGUUGGAAGCUUGCCCUCUUUGACUUCAAGUUGGUAGGACCACUUCCAUAUGCCCCGAAUGCUAUAAUUUGACCAUGGAGUUGGGCUUCUUGACUUGCAAUGAUGGAAGACCCAAAUCUUUCACAUGCUGGGCUACCUGCUGCCGGCUGGACGUUUGGAAAUCUACAAUGAGGUAGAUUAUGUAGUCAAAUUUAGUAUUUAAGACUAAUGAAGGUAAAAAUUAAUUACAACUAAUGAAUAUAAAUAUGUUAAUUUAAUCAUUUAAAAUAAAUUUUAACUUAACUUUAUUAAAUAAGCUAAGUGCUUAAAGUAAAAUUCUAAUAAUGUGUUUUAACUCAACAAUUUAACAAUAAUUAAAUUUAUAUUCAACUUAAAUCAUCAAAUAAAAGACAUUAAGUUUUACAAACUCAACUUGAGAAUCUUAACUCAGGUUUAAAACUUAUAUUAAGAAUAUUUACAUUUCAUAGUUAAUAUCUUAGCUUAAAUUUUUAAUAGGUUUGGAUUCAUACACUUCCACCAGCUCCCAAUCCACUAGCAGCUGGUAGGCUGAUAAAGUCAUAGAUGGUGGCCGAGACUUGUUCAACGAUCUCAUGCUGAUUUAAAUUAUAUCAGAUGGUUUUUGAAUGCUCUUUGGGGUGGAGGGGGGAAGUGACAAAUUCAGCAUCAGCCGACCGGCUGCAAAUUAAUUCAUCAACUUAAGAAAUUUUUGUGUAGAACACAUUUUCACAUUUUAAACUUAUGAGAAGGAGAAUCCACACAUUUCUAUAAUUAAACAUAUUUAUUUAAGUUUUUUAAAUAAAAUAAUAAGGAAAAUAAGUCAUAACUUUUUCACUUUUAGUUGACUGCAAAGAUGAUAAAGUCAGUGUCUUCUGAAAGGAUUGCUAGACUAGAAGAAAGGAAAACUAAAUGAAUAAAAAAUAAAAAAUAUUGAAAUCAUUUUCACCAAAGGAAGAUUUUUCUAUUCAAAUUAGUCAAGUCCAAAUUAUAUGGAGUCCAAUUUUUCUGGAAAUUUGUAUGAAAACUUCACUGAAAUAGGGACUAUAAAAAAGGCUGCAAAACAAACAAAAAAAGAGUAUAAUUCUUAAAUUAUUUUUAAUUGUUUGAAAAAUAAAGAGUUUAAAUAUGAAAUAAAAUGCUAUUUGAUUAAAAGAGCUUUCUCAGCUCCAAAAGUGACUUCUGGAAUAGGACAUAUGAACGGUAAUAUUUUUCUUACAGCAUGUUCAGGUAGCAGUAGACGUCACCCUUGUUGCUGUGGUGGCCAUCUUAUUUAAUUUAUAUGUACUAUGGACCCAACUUGGUUUCCGUAUUUUUCAAAUGAAUAGUCCGCGUCACUUUUAAGGCUUCAGUUGGAUAAGAUUUUUUUGGAAAGAAAAGAAAAUUCUUACAUGGGGUUUUCAAGCAGAACUCAAACUAAAUCAGCACGGGAAAAGGAAUAUGUUGGAAAAUUUUCUCACUUGUAUGUCUAAACAAAACUCAAAUCCAUUAUUUCUUUCAUUUUGAUAACAUACACAAGGAUAAACAAUGAUUUUAACUUGAGGUCUCUGAAAAAGUCCUCCAACAACGAUAAAUAACAAAUAAUAAAUUCUAAGUAAAGAUGAUUUCAUGGUGAUAUAUCUUUACUAUCUAUAUUUGAUUAAUAGAACAUGGCUCGUGGAUCAUUUUUCCUAUCAUUUCACUUAGUUUGAAUCCAUUUGAACGCUAUGUAGCACAACGGUCUCAAUGGUCAAGCCUGGCCCAAAGCCAAACAAAACACCCCAAUCCAAUCCUUCACCUGUGGUUGUCUUUCCUUCCUUGAGCGAUUUCUUUCUCAUUUCAUCCAAAAUAAACAAGACACAUGCACUUGACAUGUUCCCAUAUUCACUUAGAAUAUGUCUUGUUGCUUUGAGUUUUUGUUUAUCUAAACUGAGUUUUGCUUCAACCGCAUCAAGAAUAGCUGGGCCGCCUGGGUGAGCAAUCCAGAAUAAGGAAUUCCAGUCACUAAUACCAAUUGGGUCAAAAGCCUUAGUCAAACACUUCUCUAUGUUUUCAGAUAUCAAACUAGGCACAUUAGGCCACAAUUGAAAGGUGAGACCCACUUCACGUAAGUUGCCUGCAAUAGCACCUGCUGAAUUUGGAAUAAAUGUUUGUGCUGCUGAAACAAGCUGGAAGAGUGGUCGUUCAAUCGAGAUAUCGGGAUCUGAUCCAAUGAUUACAGCUGCUGACCCAUCACCAAAAAGGGCUUGGCCAACUAAAGAGUCUAAAGCAGUUUCUGAAGGCCCACGAAAUGUAACAACAGUGAUCUCAGAGCACACUACAAGAACUCAUGCUCCUGCAUUAUUCUCUGCAAGAUCCUUGGCAGUUCGAAGGACAGUUCCACCUGCAUAGCACCCUUGAUGGUACAACAUCACUCUUCUGACAGAUGGUUCGAGGCCUAAAAGAUUAGCGAGUUUAUAAUCUGCACCAGGCAUUUCUACACCUGAGGUGGUACAAAAUACAAGGUGGGUGAUCUUCGAUUUAGGCUGACCCCACUCUUUAAGGGCCUUCAAUGCUGCUUCCUUGCCAAGCUUGGGCACCUCAGCAGUGAUAAUCUCUUGGCGGAUGUUAAGAGAUGGAGCCAUAUAAGCACCAAUGUUUGGGUGCUCCUCAAGCAUUUCUUCGGUCAAAUGAAUGUAACGCUUCUUGAUCAUUGAUUUAUCACCUGUAUAUAAAUUAAACGGGAGUAAUAUGUGAGCUCAAGGCAUUCAUUGUUCAAGAUGAUCAACAUCGUUCAAGUGAGUGUAAAAAAAUUCAUCUUAGUACAAUAUAAAAGCUUAUUCCGCUCAUACCAUCGCGCACAGAUGCAUUGAAUUAAUUUAAAAUGAGUACACAGGAUGUUAAAAUUAUACUUACAGAUGCGGUUGAACUUCUUCUUGAGCUCGGUCAUGUGCUCGCUCUUAGUGACCCGAAAAUAGUAAUCGGCGAAAUCAGACUGGUACAGACAGUUGUCCGGGGUAGCUGUGCCAAUGGCUAGAACGGUGGCCGGACCCUUGGCACGCUGAACAUUUCUAAUUUCCUCCACAGACGCCAUUGAUUAGUGUGUGAUGACUACUCAAAU